GCGCACUACAGUGGUCGCCGAAAUUACCUGAUAAUUUUAAAGGCGAUCGAGAGGGAAUGAGCUUUGUAAGAGGCUCAGGAACGAGGAAUUGCUAGUAAUCGCGGACUCAUUAAGACGCGAUGAAUACGUCCCUGUUCUUUGUACACACCGCCCGUCGUUAUCGAAGAUGAAGACAGGCGCGAACGAUCUACCAGAAAGUGAGCGCAGGUCUUUAGAUCUGAUACAAGUCGUAACAAGGUAGCUGUAGGAGAUCCUGUAGCUGG
rnacentral:rRNA from 1 species